rnacentral:rRNA from 1 species
UACGAAGGGGGGCUAGCGUUGCUCGGAAUCACUGGGCGUAAAGGGUGCGUAGGCGGGUCUUUAAGUCAGGGGUGAAAUCCUGGAGCUCAACUCCAGAACUGCCUUUGAUACUGAAGAUCUUGAGUUCGGGAGAGGUGAGUGGAACUGCGAGUGUAGAGGUGAAAUUCGUAGAUAUUCGCAAGAACACCAGUGGCGAAGGCGGCUCACUGGCCCGAGUACUGACGCUGAGGCACGAAAGCGUGGGGAGCAAACAGG